rnacentral:rRNA from 1 species
UACGUAGGGAGCAAGCGUUGUCCGGAUUUAUUGGGCGUAAAGAGCUCGUAGGCGGUUUGGAAAGUCAGGUGUGAAACCUCCAGCUCAACCUGGAGACGCCACUUGAUACUUCUAUGACUUGAGUUCGGUAGGGGUAAGCGGAAUUCCUGGUGUAGCGGUGAAAUGCGCAGAUAUCAGGAGGAACACCGAUGGCGAAGGCAGCUCGCUGGGACGUUACUGACGCUGAGACGCGAAAGCGUGGGGAGCAAACAGG